ACGGGUGAGUAAUGUCUGGGAAACUGCCUGAUGGAGGGGGAUAACUACUGGAAACGGUAGCUAAUACCGCAUGACCUCGUAAGAGCAAAGUGGGGGACCUUCGGGCCUCACGCCAUCGGAUGUGCCCAGAUGGGAUUAGCUAGUAGGUGGGGUAAUGGCUCACCUAGGCGACGAUCCCUAGCUGGUCUGAGAGGAUGACCAGCCACACUGGAACUGAGACACGGUCCAGACUCCUACGGGAGGCAGCAGUGGGGAAUAUUGCACAAUGGGCGCAAGCCUGAUGCAGCCAUGCCGCGUGUGUGAAGAAGGUCUUCGGAUUGUAAAGCACUUUAAGUUGGGAGGAAGGGCAGUUACCUAAUACGUGAUUGUUUUGACGUUACCGACAGAAUAAGCACCGGCUAACUCUGUGCCAGCAGCCGCGGUAAUACAGAGGGUGCAAGCGUUAAUCGGAAUUACUGGGCGUAAAGCGCGCGUAGGUGGUUUGUUAAGUUGGAUGUGAAAUCCCCGGGCUCAACCUGGGAACUGCAUUCAAAACUGACUGACUAGAGUAUGGUAGAGGGUGGUGGAAUUUCCUGUGUAGCGGUGAAAUGCGUAGAUAUAGGAAGGAACACCAGUGGCGAAGGCGACCACCUGGACUGAUACUGACACUGAGUGCGAAAGCGUGGGGAGCAAACAGGAUUAGAUACCCUGGUAGUCCACGCCGUAAACGAUGUCAACUAGCCGUUGGGAGCCUUGAGCUCUUAGUGGCGCAGCUAACGCAUUAAGUUGACCGCCUGGGGAGUACGGCGCAAGGUAAAACUCAAUGAAUGACGGGG
rnacentral:rRNA from 1 species